ACACGCACUACCGAUUUAGGUGGAGAUGCCUCACUUCCCACACAUGCUUCAGCAUCAUUGUCAGCUCCACCACAACCCCCAGCAUCAUCCCCAGCUCCACCACAACCUCUAGCAUCCUCCCUAUCUCCACCACAGCCUCUAGCAUCCUCCAUAUCUCCACCACAGCCUCCAUUAUCUUCCCAUGCCCCAUCACAACCUCCAGGAGCUAGCCAGACUCCAUCAGAAUCAUCCACCCCACAUCUAUCUCAGGAUUUUUGAUCGACACACUCAUCUACAUCACACCAUUACUGGACAGUUAAUGUGAUAGGUAUGCACAAAAUAUUUAAAUUGAGUGUAAUUAUUAUAUACUUGCAUUAAUUAUUAAAUUAGGUAUAUGUAUUUUGAUUGACAGAUGAACAGGGAGUUAUAAAACAAGAAAAGCUAAGGGUUAAGGAUGUUUGGUUACUUGCACGUGGAAGGCAUGUCAUGUUAGAGUUUAAUGAAUCACUCCAACGAAUAGGAGAUUCAGCUGGACUUUUUGGAGGGAUUUUAGGAGAGUUAGCUUCUGAUUUUGUUACUUUUCCUGUCAAUUACGAAAGCUGGCAUAAAGUUCCCAACGCAUAUAAAGAUGAAAUUUACAAAAAUAGAGUCAUGGAAAAAUUUAAUGUUGACGAAGGACAUGUGAAGAAUUUCAUUUUGAGAAACAUUGGAAAAAAAUAGAAGGAUAAUAGAUGCAAGUUAUACCACGAGUACUAUGAUCCCACUAUUGGUCAAGAGGCAAAUCUUGCCAAACAUCCACCAGGAAUCUCACAAGACCAGUGGGAGAUGUGUCUACAAAAUAGUGAAAAUCGAUCCAAAUUGACAAUCCCAAACACUGGAGGAUCAAAGAGUCUGGCAAGAAAAAAACAUGAGAUGGAAAUUGAGAGUGGUCAGCUAGUGAGUACGGAUUUAUUAUACAUCGCGACACAUAAGAAGAAAGACAAAUCUUUUGUGAAUGAAGGAGCACGAACUAGAAGCGCACCAUAUACGAAUAGUGGACAAGCUUCACCAGCGGCAAGGCGGUCUUCGAUAUCUAGUCAUAACAUUAAUCACCCACAACAACCUCCAGACCAACAAAAUUGAUGUAUUGUUAAAAUAUUUGAACGACUUGACCUCUAAACUUUUUAAAUUUCAUUUUGAUAUGUAACUCUAUUUUGAUUGGACUUUGAUAUGUUACAUGUUUGGAUAUUUAAGUUGGAUUGAAUAUUUAUAG